rnacentral:rRNA from 1 species
AGUGAACGCUGGCGGUAGGCCUAACACAUGCAAGUCGAACGGCAGCACAGUAAGAGCUUGCUCUUACGGGUGGCGAGUGGCGGACGGGUGAGGAAUACAUCGGAAUCUACUUUUUCGUGGGGGAUAACGUAGGGAAACUUACGCUAAUACCGCAUACGACCUACGGGUGAAAGCAGGGGAUCUUCGGACCUUGCGCGUUUGAAUGAGCCGAUGUCGGAUUAGCUAGUUGGCGGGGUAAAGGCCCACCAAGGCGACGCUCCGUAGCUGGUCUGAGAGGAUGAUCAGCCACACUGGAACUGAGACACGGUCCAGACUCCUACGGGAGGCAGCAGUGGGGAAUAUUGGACAAUGGGCGCAAGCCUGAUCCAGCCAUACCGCGUGAGUGAAGAAGGCCUUCGGGUUGUAAAGCCCUUUUGUUGGGAAAGAAAAGCAGCAGGUUAAUACCCCGCUGUUCUGACGGUACCCAAAGAAUAAGCACCGGCUAACUUCGUG